GGAUUGAAGGAGAGGAACUCGAUUAUUUCAGGGAUUGUAGCAAAGUAGAGCAUGCUUUGUUCUCAAAAAUAAGAGAUACAUGCCACUACUGGUCCCUAGCUGUAGGGAAGAUAAUCUUUAAGCCCCCUAAUGCUGGUUAUGCGACUCCCUAAUGUAUAAUAAGUUUAUGUAGAACACAAAAAACUCAAUCCGUAGGGUGGAUAGUGUUUCCUCGUUGUUGUAAUAGUUGUUUGCUACCUUCUCUUUAUUACAAAGCAAAGCCGGUUAUUCAGAUUUUUUCAGAGAAGAGAGAGAGAGAGAGAGAGAGAGAGAGAGAGAGAGAGGAUUGGAGGGUGUCUACUUUGAGCUCUGUGUUUAUUGGCAACCCCAGCUGACCUUUGUAUCUAAAUUUAUGGCUUUAGGAAAAUCUUUAAAAACAAGAGUGUCACUAGCCAUUUCUACGGAGUAUCUUAUAGUAUAUACUAUCAUCGUAUAUACGCAAGAGGGAAUGCAUAUUAUUCCUGAUCAGUGCUUGGAAUAUUUAUUUGUUGAUACUUGUUGAUAUAUUCUUGGUGAGUACUGUUGGAUGUGCGUGCGUGCAUGCUGAGCACAUGACAUAGGUAAUCACAAAGUGCAAAAGGGGCACAUAUACUGCCAGUACUUAUAUCACCGCCUAAGCGUAGUAGUCGUAACUUUCUUACUACUGCGCAUACCAUGCACACACUGUAAAAUAGUUGCACGGGUAACGGACGAACGUGGAUCAGUCCGCAGCAGCUGACCUGUCCACGAAGCAGAGUCGUGCAGAGAAGCAGGCAACUGUGCUACUUCCAGAGACGAUGAACUACUGUAUAUAUAUGCAUGAGACUGUGUCCAGGCUAUUAAGCAUGUGUUUAAUUUAUUAUGGGACGUCUUGAUUGAGAUGAGGUUGUCUCAUGUUCGAUGCAUGUCCUCUGUUACUGUUAAGAUGAAAAUGAUGGGUCUGUGUUCCUUUUUUUUUUUUGUUUAGAGUGACGUCUUAGCGAUAGAAUGAAUAGAGAGCUUUUAUACGGUCAGUCAUGGCCCCUAAUGUCAGCCAUGAACCGCGCGCACUCAUCAGCCUGUCACCCACAUCUCUUCUUCUACUUGUCCUUUUAUUAUGCACCACUAUCACCCAGUCUCUCCCGAUGGCACCUCUCCCUGCUGGCGUGCCUCCGCUCUGGCCUGCCCCUGUACUGUACACAACACCCACCGGGUCACCAUGCAUUAAGCUCAUCUGCCAUGACUUUGGUGUGAGGUCUCACAGCCGGUGUGCUUCCCCUCUGACAAUCCACCUCUCUUCAUCCUGGUCGAGCCCCUAGGUCGGCCGUGGCGCCCUAGCUACCCUUGGAGAUAUGUGUCGUCGUCGGUCAUCGGCGCAUCCAUGACAUGCUCGCUUGCCUAGGCGUCAAGAAUAGUCUCCCUAUCGUCGCUCGCCUGACAGUACUACUGCCCAAGUGCCACCCACUCGGUCUGCCGUCAGGCUUGCCCGUCCGCUUCAGCAUGCCACGGGGAAAUAAGUUAUUUUUUACUUUAAGAGUAUGUGCCUUCCAUGUGCAUGCACCACUGCACAUGGUAGUUCUCUUCUGCUGCACAUACCCUUACUAAGGGUAAUUUUUCUGCCUUUCCACGCUACGAACUCAAUCUUAGUGUCAAUAGUUUCGAUGAAUGCACACUAAAUAUUUGAGCAUGCAAACAGAGUCAUCAACUUGAUGAUCUCGUCUACUCAAUUUGAGGGGACCAAGAUGUUCCCGAUCCAAUAAAAAUAUAUUUUAUAAUCUAAUGAUGCAUUUUUAUAAUAUAAAUAAAUCUUUCUAUUUUUUGUGAACUUAAUUAAACUUAAAAUUAUUUGACUCCAAAAUGACGAUCCCGUCUACUCAAUUUGAGGGGACCAAGAUGUUCCUGAUCCAAUAGAAAUAUAUUUUAUAAAUCUAAUGAUGCAUUUUUUAUAAUAUAAUAUAAAACUUUCUAACUUAUUAAAUAAACUUAAAAUUAUUUGACUCCAAAAUGAAAAUUGCAUAUAUUGGCUCCUUGUCGAUCUGGAUGCAUUCGAUCAUCUAGCUUAAUCGCAUUGCCUGCGCGAUA
rnacentral:lncRNA from 1 species